GCCAUUUUCUGACAUUUGAAAAGAUCUGAAGAUACGCCCCUUGGAUGCCUGCAGAGAAGCUCUGGGGUUUCAGUCAAUGACUCAGGGUAGCCACUGAACAUGACGCUCGCAGUGGGUGCCACCUGGACUCCACUCUCCUCUCUCUCUGGGAUCAUAGAGUCCAAGGUGUUCUGUGGCCUCUCGGCCAGUCCCAGCAGCUCAGCGUGCAGAAGACCGAGGAGCCAUUGGAAAAGAAAAAGAGAACAUAUAUCCCCCUACCUUUUGAUUUCCAACAGUCUACUGAGAGGCCAACAUUAUUUGCAGGGAAAGAAAAGGGGUCAAAUUGUUUUGCCAGUCACUCCCAAAUCAUCUACAGCCAAGGGGAGAAGUGUAUCAAGACGGAGGUGCUCAACGGUAUCAAAUACUGCCAAGAGACCAAGUAAUACAUGCACUGAAGUGUCUACUGGAUCUAGCUAUAUGAAAUUUUAAUUUAGGACACUUAGGCCAUACUGAAGCAAGGUGACAAAAUGAAUAGCUACAAUGUCUCAUGAAUCUUGGGUUUCCAUUCACCCUGGUAUUCAAGAGAAAUUCUUGCAUCAUGGAAGUUGAAGUUGGAUAGGACUUUCUCAGCUGAACACUGUCAUCUGCCAGAGCUUCAG
rnacentral:sRNA from 1 species